GACGAAGGGGGCUAGCGUUGUUCGGAAUUACUGGGCGUAAAGGGCGCGUAGGCGGCUCGCUAAGUCGGAUGUGAAAACUCUGGGCUCAACCCAGAGCCUGCAUUCGAAACUGACGAGCUAGAGUUCUGGAGGGGAAAGCGGAAUUCCUGGUGUAGCGGUGAAAUGCGUAGAUAUCAGGAGGAACACCGGUGGCGAAGGCGGCUUUCUGGACAGAAACUGACGCUGAGGCGCGAAAGCUAGGGGAGCAAACAGG
rnacentral:rRNA from 1 species